rnacentral:rRNA from 1 species
GACGAACGCUGGCGGCAUGCUUAACACAUGCAAAUCGAACGGUAAGGCCCUUCGGGGUACACGAGUGGCGAACGGGUGAGUAACACGUGGGUGAUCUGCCCUGCACUUCGAGAUAAGCCUGGGAAACUGGGUCUAAUACCGGAUAGGACCACUGCCUGCAUGGGUGGCGGUGGAAAGCUUUUGUGGUGUGGGAUGGGCCCGCGGCCUAGCAGCUUGUUGGUGGGGUGAUGGCCUACCAAGGCGACGACGGGUAGCCGGCCUGAGAGGGUGACCGGCCACACUGGGACUGAGAUACGGCCCAGACUCCUACGGGAGGCAGCAGUGGGGAAUAUUGCACAAUGGGCGCAAGCCUGAUGCAGCGACGCCGCGUGAGGGAUGACGGCCUACGGGUUGUAAACCUCUUUCAGCACCGACGAAGCGCAAGUGACGGUAGGUGCAGAAGAAGGACCGGCCAACUACGUGCCAGCCGCCGCAGUAA